rnacentral:tRNA from 1 species
AGGGAGUUGGUAUAGAGGUUGUGCCUAGGUCUCCAAAACCUAUGAGGUGGGUUCAAGUCCUACACUCCCUGCCA